rnacentral:rRNA from 1 species
CUUCCUUUGGGGACCUGCGAGGGAUUAUUAAAGAGGUUCCAAACUCCCUUUAACAUUGUGGACGGUAACUAAAACGUUGUUUGGCGGGCGGGCCCCGUUCUUUCCGGCGCCCCUCGGGCCUCGCGGGCGCCCGCCGGAGGUUAACCAAACUAUUGCAUUGUAUGGCCUCUCUGAGUCUUCUGUACUGAAUAAGUCAAAACUUUCAACAACGGAUCUCUUGGUUCUGGCAUCGAUGAAGAACGCAGCGAAACGCGAUAAGUAAUGUGAAUUGCAGAAUUCAGUGAAUCAUCGAAUCUUUGAACGCACAUUGCGCCCGCCAGUAUUCUGGCGGGCAUGCCUGUUCGAGCGUCAUUUCAACCAUCAAGCCCCGGGCUUGUGUUGGGGACCUGCGGCUGCCGCAGGCCCUGAAAUGCAGUGGCGGGCUCGCUGUCACUCCGAGCGUAGUAGUUACAUCUAGCUCUGGGCGUGCUGCGGGUUCCGGCCGUUAAAAGCCUUAUUUACCCCAGGUGACCUCGGAUCAGGUAGAAAGACCCGCUAAACUUAGCAUAUCAUUACCGGGAGGACUCC